UAAUUAGCUAAUUAAAAUACGAUCUGUGAUAUAUGAGAGCUAUUCUAAGCUAUUUUGUUUGGUGCUAACUAUAUGGAAUUUAAGCCUUAUAGGGGGUAUUAUAAUGUGCAGUGCAUAUGUCGGAACAGGCCAGAUCAAAUUACUUUAUCAUAUAGUCAUAUGAGUGAAAAGUAUCUGGAACGCACGAUAAGACAUAUCGUAUCAAUAUCGGACUACUAUAAGGCUCUGUACGCUGAAUGAAUCUAAAAAUGAGUGUGGAACAUUUGGUGGAACUACUAUAUUAUAUGACUUCCCUAGGAACUAUCACAUGGAAGGAAAGUUUUUGUAUAUGUGUGCAAGGGUAUUCAAUCUUCGACAUGCCAAAAGGAAUAUUUAAAGGUGCACAUCAUAAGUUCGUUUAUUAGCAGGAAAACUGCCAUUACACGAAUAUAUCUCGACACAAGAAUACCAGAAACUCAAUUUGAACAACAAUUGUAACAUAAAGAAGAAAAAAGGUGUCGAACUCACAAAGUGGCGCCACAACCAAGAGGCAUACGUCAUGGCACGGCAUGGCCCAUUGGGUAUUACUCAACAGCCGCAAUCUGAGCACCCCACCUGCCUGCACCACAAGCAAGAGCUCAUUAUGUUGGGCGAGGGUUCAAAGUGCGUCGGACACAUGAAACACGAAGCUAUUUAUAUGUCGCACCUUCAACAGAGGUUUAUGGAAGGUUAUAUGGUUAUCUACGCCAGUACUAUGGAAAUUGACUUCAAUAACAGACAUGGCGUCGAAUAGCCAAGCAAAUCAAAGAUUGACAUAGUCUCUUGAUAAGCCUACCAAGUGGUGCGGGAUUUAGACAAGCAAUCAGCUUGUACCACUUAUAGUCAGUCUUGUUGUCUGGUCAAACUCGUCUGGUGAAAGCAACAUAAUCACACGAAAUCGAUUGAACAAUAAUCAUGCCACAUGUGGCAAGAAUAAACAACAGUCCAACAGUGUGAGGGGCCGGUCUGAGCUGUUGUGGUUGCUGUGGCGCUGCCUCCGGGGGAGCAUCAAAUGUCAGCAGGCCAGUAAAAGAGAAAACGUGGAGCAAAAAAUAAAACGAGUUUAUUUCAUGUGUGGAUGAGAGGCAUUUGACAAAGGGUCGCAGCACGCUGGACGGCCGCAAACGGAAGGGAGCUAAACCACACAUGGCGAACCGGGCAGUCAGAAUAGAACAUAUAUAAAAAGUGUGUUCUAGUUGGCAAUGCUCGACCAUGAGAUACCCUGUACCCCCCCAGACCGUCAAUUCGAGCUACAUUCAGUUCAGUAAAACAUUAUACUUUUUUGUGAACAUUCGGGAAAUAGGAGAAUUUUUUAUAAACUGAGGUAAUCAUGUCCGGAUCGACUCUGGCACUUUAUUAGAUCAAAGCUCCUUAUUUCUGCUUGUUACAUAAAUUUGCACCUAACUAUUAUACCCCUUGUAUAAACUUCCAAUUGACACAGGGUAUACAAAUAAAAUUCUGAAAAUUUCGUUUUCAGUCAGAAAAGUUUUGUGUUCAAAGCUGACGCAGCGAAUUAAUUGAAAAGGUUAAAUAAGUAUAAAGAGAGCUCUGCCGCCGGCGACCGAAAUACUUGACGCGAUGCACAAACUUCAAGUUAGCCCCGUUCUCAAUACCCAGCGCCGUUAGAGU